rnacentral:lncRNA from 1 species
GCACUCAGAGCAAGGAAGCGAUAAGAGGAAGCUAGACCACUGUUUGGUGCUGGCUGCCCAGCGGCUGAUGGUCUCAGGAGGAAGGGGCCGAUUCCCUAAGCUGACAUAGCCUGAAGGGCUUCUGCAAAGCCAAAAGAUGACAUAGAGUUUUCCUCAGAAGUUGAAGAGGCCCCAGGGACCAUUCAGUCUUUCAGAUGAGGGAGAAGAGAGUGAGGAAAAGGAGAAUGACUAGCCAAACCCCUAAUUUCCUGUGGUCUCUCAGCUGUAGAUCCAGCAAAAGUAGUUGAAUUAGAAUGCAAUCAGUCAACAAGUGUGCAGAACUUGAAUCCAGAUAGAGUCCCCUGAAAAUAAAGAAGUAU